rnacentral:rRNA from 1 species
UACGUAGGGGGCUAGCGUUGUCCGGAAUCAUUGGGCGUAAAGCGCGUGUAGGCGGUCCGGUAAGUCCGCUGUGAAAGUCGAGGGCUCAACCCUCGAAUGCCGGUGGAUACUGUCGGGCUUGAGUACGGGAGAGGCGAGUGGAAUUCCUGGUGUAGCGGUGAAAUGCGUAGAUAUCGGGAGGAACACCAGAGGCGAAGGCGGGCUACUGGGCCGAUACUGACGCUGAUGCGCGAAAGCCAGGGGAGCAAACGGG